GUGCUCACUUUGGCAGCACACACACUAAAACUGGAACAACACAGAGAUUAGCAUUGUCCUGGGGCAUGGAUGACAUGCAAAUUCAUGAACCAUUUCAUAUUUUA